CCUACGGGUGGCAGCAGUGGGGGAUAUUGCACAAUGGGGGGAACCCUGAUGCAGCGACGCCGCGUGGGUGAAGGAGUGCUUCGGCAUGUAAAGUCCUAUCGUCAGGGAAGAAGCAAGACGGUACCUUGCUAAAAAACCCCGGCUAACUACGUGCCCGCCGCCGCCGUAAUACGUUGGGGGCCAGCGGUAUUCGGAUUCACUGGGUGUAAAGGGAGCGUAGACGGGGAUGCAAGCCAGGUGGGAAAGCCCAGGGCCCAACCCCGGGCCUGCCCUUGGAACUGCAUGGCUGGAGUGCGGGAGGGGCAGGCGGAAUUCCUGGUGUAGCGGUGAAAUGCGUAGAUAUCAGGAGGAACACCGGCGGCGAAGGCGGCCUGCUGGACCGCGACUGACGUUGAGGCUCGAAAGCGUGGGGAGCGAACAGGAUUAGAUACCCGGGUAGUC
rnacentral:rRNA from 1 species